AGAGUGGGCCAUGAGGACUGCGUUUUUAACGAGGAAAGUCCGGGCUCCAAAGGGCAGGAUGCCAGCUAACAGCUGGGCGGGGCAACCCGACGGAAAGUGCCGCAGAAAAGGAAACUCCCACUGGCGCAAUGGCGUUAAGAGAAAAGCUGAAAAGGUGCGGUAAGAGCGCACCAGUACUUCGGAGACGAAGUAGCUUGGUAAACCCCAUCCGGAGCAAACGCAAAUAGGAAUGCUAUAGUGUUGCCCGCACUGCAUUCGGGUUGCGCGCUAGAGCUUCGCAGCAAUGCGACGCCAAGAUAAAUGGUCCUCACACGACAGAACCCGGCUUACCGGCCCACUCUUCUU
rnacentral:RNase_P_RNA from 1 species